rnacentral:lncRNA from 1 species
CUCGGAAGGAGGAAGUGUAGGAUAUCUAGAAAAUAAAGACUCUCGGAAGGAGGAAGUGUAGGAUAUCUAGAAAAUAAAGACGCUCGGAAGGAGAAAGUGUAGGAUAUCUAGAAAAUAAAGACGCUCAGAAGGAGGAAGUGUAGGAUAUCUAGAAAAUAAAGACGCUCGGAAGGAGAAAGUGUAGGAUAUCUAGAAAAUAAAGACGCUCAGAUUUGAAAAUCAGAGGUUUUCCUAACAGCCUAAUCGAGGUGUUUUACAAGGCUACAUGUAAAUCCUUCUGCUGACCUUAACUAGUUGCUUAUCAACAGGGACGGCAGCGUAGCCUAGUGGUUAGUUUAGCGCGUUGGACUAGUAACCGAAAGGUUGCAAGAUCGAAUCCCCGAGCUGACAAGGUACAAAUCUGUCGUUCUGCCCCCUGAACAAGGCAGUUAACCCACUGUUCCCCGGUAGACCGUCAUUGUAAAUAAUAAGAAUUUGUUCUUAACUGACUUGCCUGGUUAAAGGUUAAACAAACAUUUAAAACAGAGAAUGACUAUCCAAACUAAGCGAGACCAGGAUUUAUCUUAACGCCGCUCCGUGCAGCCAUCGGAUAAACCCCAGGAGCCCCUCUGGACGGCUCUUAUUAACGCCGCUCCUCCGCUGUCAAAACGUCAGCUGAAAACCCCCAUCUGAUUGGAUCUACAGUAACUAGACCUUCCCUGAGCGAGACGCCGAACACAUUGACUUACCAACAUCCUGGUUACUAACGGGAGGCUGGGGGAUUCAAUCCAAUUACAGGUGGUUACUAACGGGGAGGCUGGGGGAUUCAAUCCAAUUACAGGUGGUUACUAACGGGGAGGCUGGGCGAUUCAAUCCAAUUACAGGUGGUUACUAACGGGGAGGCUGGGGGAUUCAAUCCAAUUACAGGUGGUUACUAACGGGGAGGCUGGGGGAUUCAAUCCAAUUACGGCUUGUAGACAACAACAACAAAAAGCAAUGUUUGCAGUCAUGUAAAGGCUGUUAUCGGUCGACGGGGAAAUGUAUAUUUUAACAACUGCAUCAACAGCUGUCCAGCUCGCUGCUCAACAGAGAGAAUCCUGGUCUGAAUGAAUGUCCCCAGGCCAGAUAGAUUAUUACAGAGGGGAUCAGCAGGUCCUACAUCAGUGUGAAUGACACCCCCUCUUCCACUCUCAGCACAGGGGUCAGGGAGGGAGGAGGGAGGACCACACAGGAGGGAGGGAGGAGGGAGGG